GUCUGGAUGGCUUAGUGGUCAGAGCGUCUGCCUAUUAAGCUGGAGACCCGAGUUCGAAUUCCGGUCUGGCACU